rnacentral:tRNA from 1 species
GCCUUCGUAAUGUAAUGGUCAGCACACUGAGCCGGUAUUUCAGAGGUCCGUGGUUCGAUUCCCGGCGAAGGAA